AGUGUUUGUCUAAUUGGAUUUAAUAACAUGUUUAGAGGUGCAGUAGGCAUGACUUUGACUAGA
rnacentral:miRNA from 1 species